GAUGAACGCUGGCGGCGUGCCUAAUACAUGCAAGUCGAGCGAACAGACGAGGAGCUUGCUCCUCUGACGUUAGCGGCGGACGGGUGAGUAACACGUGGAUAACCUACCUAUAAGACUGGGAUAACUUCGGGAAACCGGAGCUAAUACCGGAUAAUAUAUUGAACCGCAUGGUUCAAUAGUGAAAGACGGUUUUGCUGUCACUUAUAGAUGGAUCCGCGCCGCAUUAGCUAGUUGGUAAGGUAACGGCUUACCAAGGCAACGAUGCGUAGCCGACCUGAGAGGGUGAUCGGCCACACUGGAACUGAGACACGGUACAGACUCCUACGGGAGGCAGCAGUAGGGAAUCUUCCGCAAUGGGCGAAAGCCUGACGGAGCAACGCCGCGUGAGUGAUGAAGGUCUUCGGAUCGUAAAACUCUGUUAUUAGGGAAGAACAAAUGUGUAAGUAACUAUGCACGUCUUGAAGGUACCUAAUCAGAAAGCCACGGCUAACUACGUG
rnacentral:rRNA from 1 species